rnacentral:rRNA from 1 species
UACGUAGGUGGCAAGCGUUGUCCGGAUUUACUGGGCGUAAAGGGCGUGUAGGCGGUCCGCUAAGUCUGGUGUGAAAUCUCCCGGCUCAACUGGGAGGGGUCAUUGGAUACUGGCGGACUAGAGGGGGGCAGAGGAAGGUGGAAUUCCCGGUGUAGCGGUGAUAUGCGUAGAUAUCGGGAGGAACACCAGUGGCGAAGGCGGCCUUCUGGGCCCACCCUGACGCUGAGGCGCGAAAGCGUGGGGAGCAAACCGG